UGGGGUUCGAAACUAGCAUUUCAGGCACUGUGCCCCACACUCGGCUUCAUGGCUCACCAGCCUGCCAGGUGGACACGCCCAGUCUCGCUCUUCCUGUCUCCACCCACUGUGUGUGUGCACCUGCCAUGUGCCAGGGGGCACGGAGGGGCACAAGUUGUGUUUCCAUCGCCUAGAUUUCCCCAGCUCAUGGUGGAGAUGGACACAUCCAAAACUCUGAUCUGAGAUGAGUCUCCUUGGUAUCUGAAGGAUGUCCUUCCUCUCUGGGUCUAGAACUCUGGAGUGACAGCUCUUUUCUUCCAGCACCGUAAACACGUUGCUCCCUUGUCUUCUGGAGCCCAUCAUUUCUGCUGAAAAAUAAUCUUAUUGUCCCCUUGAAGGAUGGUCCCUGAAACGUAAGGGACCCGACAGCCACCACGGCGAGGAAGGCGCAGAAGGGGCAGCACGGAGCCGUGAGCCACAGAGAUGCUGCAGCCUGGACCAGCCAUCAUCAGACAGGCGUGUGCCGUCAGCGCUCAACGUGUGAGAAAGCACAGAGCCAGGCCCUUCCCAAGACCCCACUAUGAACCCGAUUGCUUCGGCCUGGCUGCCUUCCUCCAAAGGGGUGCAGGCGGGGCCCACGGGACCCCAGUUCUCUAGUCUCGCCUGACUCUAGGCAGAACUCUAGUGGCUCUGAUCUCUGGGCAGAACUGACUCAAGAGCCACUGAAGAGACCUUCGCCUGGGGUCCUAGACUGGGCUGCAAGGAGUCUUUGAAUCUCUUGAGAUUGUGCACUAAGUAUUUACCUGCACGCAUUUUUCCAGGAAGAGGGCCUGCGGCUUGCAUCAUAUCCCCACCGUGGUCUGUGACCAAGAAAGUAGUCAGCAUCUUUAGGCUAGAGGAGGCGGGAGCCCCGGAUUCCAAUCGCAGUUCUCCCUGGCUGUGUGAGCUUGAUUUGUCCUUUCUCUCUCUGAGCCCUGAUUCUGCCUCUUUUCUGCAAGGACCUUGAUCGCUGGGGGCGGCAGGGCUCUGUCUGCUGAACCCCAGAUCCCUCUGCACUUUCCCUGCUCUGCUCAGUAGCGUGGGGCACUGGCCCAGCAAAGUUCAUUUCCAGGUUCUUGUUGUGUUCUGACCCUGAGAGGCUCUGGCCGGGACUGGGAGGGUGGGAGGGUGGGAGGCCCAGGUAUCUGCCCACAUCUCUGCUUCAGGCACCAGCUCUGGCAGGGGCGGCCUCUGUAGUUCACUUCCUACAGGUGGCCCCUUCUUCCACGGGGCCCCCAAGGGGUGCGAAUCUCACCCUCCAUACACCUCUUUUUGGACCCUCUGUGUAUUAAACUCCCUAAGGAGCCACCUGACGUGAGCUCUGGAGCCUGAGCCGUGGCUGAUAACCAGCCUGGACCCCCUGUUGCGGAGCCCCUUCUGGACCAGUGCGCCUGGGAAAUGCUGAGCCAGUUCCAGCCUAGCACACAAUAAAAGGCCCGGGAGACCCAUCAGGACUGGGCAGAGCCCAUGCAGAAGAAGGAGUUCUGUGCGAACAAAUCAGAAACGGGCAAGGACACACCCCGGCAGUCUCUACUGGUUAGGAACAUUCAUGGGAAGUAUGUUUCUAGUUCCCCCACAAAGCUCCCCAGGGCCCCAGCAUGUCCUGGGGAUGCCACAGCUCCUGGGCAGAGCCUGCAGGGAGUGGGCAGCUGAGUUGGCCCAAGCACCAAUGCAUGAAUCAUCCUAGAGGCAUCCCAGGAGCCCACAGCCAGGAGCCAAAAUCGGGGGGCUGCAGCUGGGACCCCUCUCCCGUGAACUGCCCCUGCCAGGCCUUUUUGGCCUCACUUUAUCUGCCUGUCCAGUGGGCACAACCACCUUGCUGGGACAGGCGUGUCUGCCCCACCAGCAGGUCCAUCCUAACAGCCUCUGACUCCUGUCAACUCACCACAAACGGGUUUCCUCCACCUCAGUGACUCUGUGAUUUGGAAACCAAAUAAAUGUGAAACCGUCUCUGUUGGCAUUGCACAGAGCGCUG
rnacentral:lncRNA from 1 species